UACGGAGGGUGCAACCGUUGCUCGGAAUUAUUGGGCGUAAAGCGCACGUAGGCGGCCGAAUAAGUCGGGUGUGAAAGCCCUGGGCUCAACCCAGGAAGUGCACUCGAAACUGCUCGGCUUGAGUAUGGAAGAGGGUUGCGGAAUUCCCGGUGUAGAGGUGAAAUUCGUAGAUAUCGGGAGGAACACCAGUGGCGAAGGCGGCAACCUGGGCCAAUACUGACGCUGAGGUGCGAAAGCGUGGGGAGCAAACAGG
rnacentral:rRNA from 1 species